AGCCAUUUGCCACUGUUGGGAGAGGAGAAGAAAAAAAAAAGGGAAAAGAAAAAGAAAAUAAGCUCUGUGUGAGAUCAAGAUUUCAACGCAUUAUACACCAAAACAUUUGUUGCUAUUUACUUUUAAAAGUGCCCUUCUGAGGCAGCCCGUCUCGAGCUGCCAUCUGUUCAGGAUUAUGCUUUGGAACUCCUGGUUUCCCUGCAAACCUCCUGCCUCGUGCGCGGCUCCGUGUGCCCAGAAGAGAGAAGGAGCAGGGGAUAAUGGGCUGCGGUGAGAGGAAAUGCAGCUUUACAGCUGGAUCUGAAGUUCUGACCUGGUUGUCAAGGAACUGCAGACAUGAGAGUCCAGCCUGGCUCCAGCAUCCGUGACCUCCGAAGCAGUUAAGCUCCAUGGUGGCUCGGCAAGCCUGGAGAAACGCCUGUUAACUUCUCCUCUGGGAAGAAGAUUUUCCCCRGUGUGUGUUGAUAAGAUCUGGACUGAAUGUGCCUCGCUGCUCCUCCAGAUACUGUCGCUGAAGAAGCAGAAGCGUCAAAGAAGCCUAAAUUCAUCUUUGCAGCAGCACAACUGGCCUGUAGAGCCCUGAGCAUCUCCUCAAGGGUUGGCAGCUUUCUGCACAGAAACCUUGCCGGGGUGCAGGAAGGGACUAGGUGCAGUGCAGGGCUGAACUAGCAGCAAAUGGAGAUGAAAUAAAUAAUGAAUUGAUAGCUCUUCCAGCAUAAGUAUUCAGCAGUUCACCAGGCCUCCUAAUGGCUGUGAGGAUGUCAGCUCUAUGCGGAGCUGUAAUGAGGAGCCGCCGUGUCAGUGCUGGUCUGGGAAAACACUGGCCAAUAAAUAUUUUCCCCAGCCUAAUCACAUCAGGCAACGGAGCCAGCAGCAAGCUGUGUCACAAGGAAUGUAAAAUAUUGGCAGCUUCCCAGCCCAUUCAGCUCUCAUUACAGCACAUGGCACCACGAAGCUCCUCAUCUUUCCUCUGACAAUGCAGYGUGUGGAUGGGACUGUCAGUUAAGUGACAACGUGGCUUCAGUUCCUGGCUUGCUGCAGAAGCACCAAAGAUCUGGAGAGUUUCCAUCCUGGCAAUGAAGGAGCCACAGAAACUUAUUUGCUGGUGAAUUAUCCACACUUGGAAAUCUGAAGCCCUCUGAAUACAGCAGGAGAUGAACCAGAGCCAAGUUGUGCCCUGCAAAGAGAGUGCAGUGGGACUGGCAAUCAGAAGAGCUGUUGGAUGGGAGCUGGCCCAGUGCAGUGGGACCUCACUGCCCUUGUUGGAAGCUGCUUGGUGAUCAUGGAGCAGCUGGGAGCUGAGGAAGCCACUGCACCAGCAGCAGUUUGGCUGCCCUGUCUGAGCCCCUCGCAGAAUUUCCUGGAGUGUGGCCAUCGGAAAAGGUGGCAAAGCACCACAGGUAACAGGUACCACUUAUGGCACUUUGAUGUGGCCGGGGCUUUGGGUCUGCGAUGGGGUGUGAUGCUGCUCUGGCUUUGCGAUGCUGCCGGGUAUUUUUUAGCACGUCCCUAAUUGUCAUCCUGCUUGGAGCCCUGUGCGUGGCCCU